rnacentral:rRNA from 1 species
CUUUACUGUAGCCUGGUAUUGGGUUCGGGCUUUGACUGCGCAGGAUAGGUGGGAGACUAUGAAGCAAUCCUUGUGGGGGUUGCUGAGUCAACGGUGAGAUACCACUCUGUCAGAGCUAGAAUUCUAACUAAAUGCCGUUAUCCGGCUUUGGGACAGUAUCAGGUGGGCAGUUUGACUGGGGCGGUCGCCUCCUAAAAGAUAACGGAGGCGCGCAAAGGUUCCCUCAGGCCCGUUGGAAAUGGGUCGUAGAGUGCAAAGGCAGAAGAGAGCUUGACUGCAAGAGCUACAACUCGAGCAGGGUGGAAACACGGCCUUAGUGAUCCGACGGCGCUGAGUGGAAGGGCCGUCGCUCAACGGAUAAAAGUUA